AUUGAACGCUGGCGGCAGGCUUAACACAUGCAAGUCGAGCGGAGAUGAGGUGCUUGCACCUUAUCUUAGCGGCGGACGGGUGAGUAAUGCUUAGGAAUCUGCCUAUUAGUGGGGGACAACAUUCCGAAAGGAAUGCUAAUACCGCAUACGCCCUACGGGGGAAAGCAGGGGAUCUUCGGACCUUGCGCUAAUAGAUGAGCCUAAGUCGGAUUAGCUAGUUGGUGGGGUAAAGGCCUACCAAGGCGACGAUCUGUAGCGGGUCUGAGAGGAUGAUCCGCCACGCUGGGACUGAAACACGGCCCAGAGUCCUACGGGAGGCAGCAGUGGGGAAUAUUGGACAAUGGGCGGAAGCCUGAUCCAGCCAUGCCGCGUGUGUGAAGAAGGCCUUUUGGUUGUAAAGCACUUUAAGCGAGGAGGAGGCUACCUGGAUUAAUACUCUAGGAUAGUGGACGUUACUCGCAGAAUAAGCACCGGCUAACCCUGUGCCAGCCGCCGCCGUAACAC
rnacentral:rRNA from 1 species